rnacentral:rRNA from 1 species
AAUUUUGGACAAUGGGCGCAAGCCUGAUCCAGCCAUGCCGCGUGUGUGAAGAAGGCCUUCGGGUUGUAAAGCACUUUCGGACGGAACGAAAUCGCGCGGGCGAAUAUCCCGCGUGGAUGACGGUACCGUAAGAAGAAGCACCGGCUAACUACGUGCCAGCAGCCGCGGUAAUACGUAGGGGGCAAGCGUUGUCCGGAUUUAUUGGGCGUAAAACGCUCGUAGGUGGCUACGUCAAGUCGGACGUGAAAUCUCCCGGCUUAACUGGGAGAGGUCGCUCGAUACUGGCGAGCUCGAGGCAGGUAGGGGGAAGCGGAAUUCCCGGUGUAGUGGUGGAAUGCGUAGAUAUCGGGAGGAACACCAGUGGCGAAGGCGGCUUCCUGGACCUGAUCUGACACUGAGGAGCGAAAGCGUGGGGAGCGAUC